rnacentral:rRNA from 1 species
GGGGAAUAUUGCACAAUGGGCGCAAGCCUGAUGCAGCAACGCCGCGUGAGGGACGACGGCCUUCGGGUUGUAAACCUCUUUUAGCAGGGAAGAAGCGAAAGUGACGGUACCUGCAGAAAAAGCGCCGGCUAACUACGUGCCAGCAGCCGCGGUAAUACGUAGGGCGCAAGCGUUAUCCGGAAUUAUUGGGCGUAAAGAGCUCGUAGGCGGUUUGUCGCGUCUGCUGUGAAAACUGGAGGCUCAACCUCCAGCCUGCAGUGGGUACGGGCAGACUAGAGUGCGGUAGGGGAGAUUGGAAUUCCUGGUGUAGCGGUGGAAUGCGCAGAUAUCAGGAGGAACACCGAUGGCGAAGGCAGAUCUCUGGGCCGUAACUGACGCUGAGGAGCGAAAGGGUGGGGAGCAAACA